GAGUAGACCAGCUUCAGUUCCUCUCCUCACAGCCUAGCUUGUUCUCUACCCUGGCUGCCAUCUAGGAUGAGUGGCUGGCUCAGACCCUAGUGUCAGCGCCCUAAUCCCCACCGGGCCAGGCACCGGUGCUGUGUUGUGCGGGCACGCUCUCUGGAAGUUUCUACAUCCAGAAACUUCCACCAUCGAAACAGUCUGGGACAAAAUACGAAUAUAUUUGGGUCGUGAAAGAAAAAAACACACACAUGUGUCUCCUCAUGGAGCUGGAGGAAGACAAUAGACAGAAAAGCAGGAGAAAGAUUAAGACCUCUGGAGGAAAGCAGCGGCUCCCUGCAAGUCUCCAGGUGACUCCAUG
rnacentral:lncRNA from 1 species